UGAGUAACCUGCCCUUAACUCUGGGAUAAGCCUGGGAAACUGGGUCUAAUACCGGAUAUGACUCCUCAUCGCAUGGUGGGGGGUGGAAAGCUUUAUUGUGGUUUUGGAUGGACUCGCGGCCUAUCAGCUUGUUGGUGAGGUAAUGGCUUACCAAGGCGACGACGGGUAGCCGGCCUGAGAGGGUGACCGGCCACACUGGGACUGAGACACGGCCCAGACUCCUACGGGAGGCAG
rnacentral:rRNA from 1 species